GAGUCAUUGGGACUAAACUAAACCUAAAGGCGCAAUGAAAGUAAAGGUCCGCCUCGCGCGGACCGAGGGAGGAUGGGUCGGCACUCGUGCCAGCCCCGCACUCCCGGGGCGUCUCGUUCUCAUCGCGAGAAGGGGCGCACCCAGAGCGUACACGCUGGGACCCGAAAGAUGGUGAACUAUGCCUGGUCAGGACGAAGUCAGGGGAAACCCUGAUGGAGGUCCGUAGCGAUUCUGACGUGCAAAUCGAUCGUCGGAACUGGGUAUAGGGGCGAAAGACUAAUCGAACCUUCUAGUAGCUGGUUCCCUCCGAAGUUUCCCUCAGGAUAGCUGGCGCUCGCUGUUGCGAGUCUCAUUCGGUAAAGCGAAUGAUUAGAGGCAUUGGGGCCGAAACGGCCUCAACCUAUUCUCAAACUUUAAAUGGGUGAGAUCUCCGGCUUGCUUGAAAAGUGAAGCCGCGAGUAUCGGAUCAGAGUGCCAAGUGGGCCACUUUUGGUAAGCAGAACUGGCGCUGUGGGAUGAACCAAACGCCGAGUUAAAGCGCCUAAAUCGACGCUUAUGGGAUACCAUGAAAGGCGUUGGUAACUUAAGACAGCAGGACGGUGG
rnacentral:rRNA from 2 species